ACAAUCCAAAGAUUGUUAAAACAGCUUCUAAAGAAAGCUCAAGAUAGAAUUCUUGGAGAAAAACCCCAAAGAAAAUUCUGCACUCAAACAAAUCUGAAAUUUGAUAAAAAAAUAAUAAUGAGAUGUGUUUUUACAAAGGGUGGCCGGCCAAUGCUUAUAUAGGCCUCCAACAAAUCCUAAUCUAAUUAGAAAACUUAAAAUUU
rnacentral:lncRNA from 1 species